rnacentral:rRNA from 1 species
GUUGACCUCGGAUCAGGUAGGGAUACCCGCUGAACUUAAGCAUAUCAUAAAGCCGGGAGGGAA